CAUGCCCCGGCCCCCAAGCUGGCAGAGCUGCCCCCCACCCCACUCAGGGCUGCAGCCAAGAGCUUCAUCAAGCCGCCGUCCCUCGCCAACCUCGACAAGGUCAACUCCAACAGCCUGGACCUGCCGGCGUCCAGCGACGCCCACGCGCCCAAGGCCGCGGACCUGCACACUCCGGGCCCGGCCGCCGGGGGCCCCCUCGCCUCCUGCUUCACCCCCAGCCCAGCCCCCAUCCUCAACAUCAACUCGGCCAGCUUCUCGCAGGGCCUGGAGCUCAUGAGCAGCUUCGGCGUCCCCAAGGAGCCCCGCAUGUACCCCAAGCUCUCGGGACUGCACCGGAGCAUGGUGCCCCGAGCCUCAGGGAGGGCGCCCUGGCACCUGCUCUGUCGCCUCGGCCCUGCCUUGGGGAGCCCUGCAGGGACACCCCGGCCCCCAGCCCCUCUCGCUGGGGCCUGCCCCCGGUGGCCCCACUCCCCCCACCGCCCCCGCCGCAGAGGACGCUGAGGAGCUGGCCUGGAGCGGAAGCCCCAGAGCUGGGCAGCUGGACAGUAAUCAGCGGGAUCGGAACACUCUCCCCAAGAAGGGGCUCAGGUAACUUACCUCAUGUGUGUUUUCUUUCCUGCUCGUGGGGCUCCUGGCCUGAGUGAGCCACCGUGCUUGCGCCAGCCCCGGCCGUGCGUGCCAC
rnacentral:lncRNA from 1 species